rnacentral:rRNA from 1 species
AUUGAACGCUGGCGGCAUGCCUUACACAUGCAAGUCGAACGGUAACGGGCCUUCGGGUGCCGACGAGUGGCGAACGGGUGAGUAAUACAUCGGAACGUGCCCGAUCGUGGGGGAUAACGAGGCGAAAGCUUUGCUAAUACCGCAUACGAUCUACGGAUGAAAGCAGGGGACCGCAAGGCCUUGCGCGGACGGAGCGGCCGAUGGCAGAUUAGGUAGUUGGUGGGAUAAAAGCUUACCAAGCCGACUAUCUGUAGCUGGUCUGAGAGGAUGAUCAGCCACACUGGGACUGAGACACGGCCCAGACUCCUACGGGAGGCAGCAGUGGGGAAUUUUGGACAAUGGGCGCAAGCCUGAUCCAGCCAUGCCGCGUGCAGGAUGAAGGCCUUCGGGUUGUAAACUGCUUUUGUACGGAACGAAAAGCCUUCUUUUAAUACAGGAGGGUCAUGACGGUACCGUAAGAAUAAGCACCGGCUAACUACGUG